CAACAAGUGUCUUCAUUUCUGGUGAUCUGGCCGAAAAACUUCUCUCCAUGAAGGCAGAGGACAUAUUUGACACAACCUGCAUCAAGGUUACCUCUUACUUAUAUUUCUUAGUGUCUGUGUUUAUAUAUACUUAAUAUACUUCUGCAAACGAUUUCUUUUUGCUUCCAGAACCAACUUCUCCGUGUUGAUCAGACCCAACAAAUGUUGUCGAAAAGACUAUUUCACAUUCAACUGAGAAAGUCAUCAUCCUGGACAAACUCUAAUGUUACUUAGUCAAGUCUAACAGUUCUGUCCUACACGGAAAAAGAACAUGUAUCUCUACCAGGCACUAGCGAGAGGAACAUUAAAAAGGCCAAAUCGUUCGAUGCUAGCGAGGUAGAGAUGAAAGCAACAUUUGUUGAAUCUGAAUCUUCCAGCAGCGAUGCCUCAAUUGAACCACCCACGCCAAUGAAGAAGUUGUGAAAGGAAGUAUGUUCCUCAUUUUGGUAUUUUUGGUUACUAAAACACCAUAACUUUUGGGAUUCUCAAUCUGCACAACCUCACUUGGUAUGAAGGUCCUGUUAUAAGAAGUUGGGGAGAAGGAAGUAACAGAGAUGGUACUCAACUUUUUCAAGUUUUUGGGCUGCCUCAGGGAUUCAAAUUUUGCGUCAAGUGGAUUGCCACACUCAGUUAGGUACUUUGACAUCUUACUGUGCCAUAAAUACUGCGACUGGAGAAGCUUACGCGGACUCCAAUUGUACCAUGUUGUUGUUCUAGACUAAGAUACCAUCAUCUUGUAACUAAAAACUCCCAACACUCUUUAACUUUUUGGGUUGUAUUAUCACUACUACUGCAACAAUGUUUGGAUAAGUGUAUCUGCACGACACGCUUGUGUCUAUUGUAAAUAUUGUGAGCCUUAUCUAUAAUAGUGUGAUAUCAAGGUUGUAUUCCAGCAGUCUUGUGCUCAAUCAUUUGUUCAAGGUUCUUGGUAAACUCUGAUUUCAGUGGCUUCCGUCAUUGGUCAGAAUGAACUCUUUUUUUAUCCUCUUUUAUUUCUCAGUGUAACAACUUGGACAUUCUUCUUGUAGACUGAAAUAUCUUUUCUUUAGGCUCCGAGUCUUUUUUGGGAUGUAGACACCGGAUCCUAUGACUAAAGUAUUGGGAAAUAACUGAUUAUGUAUUGACUCUGUAUCUAUAUGAUUAUAUGCUCUGUUGACCCAGCUCUGCUGCUUCCAUCAGCACGUGAUCAUGUCGGUUGGAGACAACCUAAAAAUAAUGUUGGACUGGGCAAUGAGGGAUGUCAAAAUGUGGUGAGUUAUUGUGUAGCACCUAUUCGUCUUCGCGCAGCUGCUCUUGGCAAGUUGUAUAAGCAUGUGCCUUCUGACUGAUUCUGGUUUACAUUAUUGUUUUCUCUGGUGUCAUUUCUUUCCUUUGGCGUUUUCCUAAAGGAAUUAGAUUAUCAAUUUCCUUAAGUUAUCUGUUUGUCGGCAAGCGAUGUUAACGUGAUAUAGUACUAGAUUGACCUAAAGUCUUUCUAUUUAUCCGGCUAGAAUUCAAAUAGAAUUGAAGGAAAAUGAAUGUGAUAAGACAGAACAAAAUUUUAAUUUUUUGGGGUUCCUUUGGCUUUUCCAUUUUUCCCUCUGUUUCAACUCCUCUUCUUCUUCUAGACUUUGGACUUCUCUGAAUUUUCGAGCUUUCUUAACUUACCACUUUUUGGUGUUUCUGAGCUUUAUCCCAUCUCCGCAAGCGUCAUGUGUAAUAAGAUUCUAACUUGGAGAUUUAUGGUGCCUUCAAUUUUUCGUACGAUUUCCUCAAUUUGAGAUAGCCUUCAAAUUUUGUGCUGAUUUUAAAUAUUUGAUUUGAUUUAGCUACUGCUAUGUUUUACUUUCUGAUGUUCACAUCCACUUUUCCAGUUCUAUUGUUGAUUCAUGAAGUUUUGUUAUAGGUUUUCUUGAGUCCUAUAUUUGGUACUCUGAGACAAUUCAUGGCUGUGUCAACUAUGCUUUUGUUGGGGUUUGGGUAUUUUGUUAUGGUACUUGGAGUUACUUCACAUAAUGGGGUUGUUGUCGUUAUUCAGUUCUUCCAGUGGCGUUUUCAUGGUGAUACAGAUAUGCAAUUCUCUUUCUCUGCUUUUGUAUGUGUUUUCUUUUUUUGUACAUCUACCACUUUCUUUUUGCUUUCUGGUUUCUGAUUUUGUCUGUUUCUUAUGAGUAUUUUGUAUCUUUUUCCAUGUUUUGGACUGUGUAUAAUUACCACUGGUUUCUGUUUUUGAACUCAUUAGUCUCUAAUGAUGCUCUUUUGUCUGUUUUCUAUCACUAACAUUUUACAUGUUAAGUUAACCUUGGAAAUUGAGCUUCGUUUUGUUUUGUGAUUUUGGUGGUAUUUAUGGCUGUGUUGAUUUGUAUUUCUGGAGUCUGCAGCUUAGAGGUUCUUGAGAAAAGAAGGAUUAGAGUGAUUAAUGACAUGUUAUAAGAAGUUGAAAAUGGCAUCAUCUUCUGCUGAAAAUAGUCCAGUCCUACUCAGAGUAGCACCUCCAAAUUAUCAUCCAUAUCCAUCUCCCUUGGUUACAUAUGAGAAUGUUGUGACCUCUUCCCAACUGUUUAUGGAUACUUUGUAGAGGCUCCAUACUGCCAUGAGAACUAAGUUCAUGUGAGUCUUCUCUUCUCUUUUUUGCCUAAUAUGGAACCUAUGCCCUUUUAUGAGUUUUUUUUGGUAAGAUUGCAUGCACCUCGACUGUUUCACUGUUGAAAUGGAUUUGAACUUAACAAAAUGAAUAUAGAAAAGAUUCAUAUAAAUGCAAGUUUUUGGUGUAUUAUAAGGUACCGAUAAAGAUAUACAAGUUAUUUCCAGCAGCCAAUGUAGUGUUUCAUGCACCACAUAGCUCUGCUAGGAUCACUACAAUGCUUCACACCUAUCAAGUAAACAAAAGAUCAACUAUGCUUGGAUGCAGAGGAAUUUUCAAGAUACUGUAAAGAACAAAUACAAGUCUGAAGAAUGUUGGUUACAACAUAUAUACAAAUUUUACACGGUGAAAAGUCGUAUAAAUUUAUUUAUUUAAAAAAAUGCAGACAAUGAUACAACACGAUCCUCAUGUAUUUGUAGGAAAAUUAUGGACGGGAGCUUUUGACACUAUCAGCUGUGAAAAUAAAUCUUGUGCUUCAACAAGUGAGAGAGUUGGAGAUCUUAUAUUUGGACAUAUCUUUGCAUCAUAUAUCUGUGAAUAUGUAUAUUAUUGUGUAUUUUUAACAAAUAUAAUUCUGUCUGUUCUCCUUAAUUAAGGGAUGUUGAAU